AAACGCAAACCCUGUAGGAGCGAGCCUGCUCGCGAUGGACUUGAGGGCACCGCGGGGAAUCAGAUUUCCCGUGUAAUCGUUAACGACCAUCGCGAGCAGGCUCGCUCCUACAGGGGUUGCGUUAA
rnacentral:pre_miRNA from 15 species